rnacentral:rRNA from 1 species
UACGAGAGGUACAAGCGUUGCCCGGAUUUAUUGGGCGUAAAGUGUUUCGUAGGUGCUUUUGUAAGUUAAGUUUCAAAGCCCAGGGCUCAACCUUGGAAAGGGACUUAAUACUGCAAGAGUUGAAUUAUUUCGGGGUUACUGGAACUAUCGGUGUAGGGGUGAAAUCCGUUGAUAUCGAUAGGAACUCCAAGGGCGAAGGCAGGUAACUAGGAAUAUAUUGACACUGAGGAACGACAGCUAGGGGAGCGAAAGGG